rnacentral:rRNA from 1 species
ACGCGGACAACCGCGACUUCUAAACCUUUGACGAUUGACUCAUGUUGCCUCGGCGGGUUCUCCCGCCAGAGGAUACGUCAAAACUCCUGUUUUAACGGUGUUGUCUGAGCUACAAGCAACGAAUCAAAACUUUCAACAACGGAUCUCUUGGUUCUGGCAUCGAUGAAGAACGCAGCGAAAUGCGAUAAGUAGUGUGAAUUGCAGAAUUCAGUGAAUCAUCGAAUCUUUGAACGCACAUUGCGCCCCUUGGUAUCCCGAGGGGCAUGCCUGUUCGAGCGUCAUUUCACCACUCAAGCCUGGCUUGGUGUUGGGCGACGUCCCCUUUGGGGACGCGCCUCGAAACGCUCGGCGGCGUGGCACCGGCUUUAAGCGUAGCAGAAUCUUUCGCUUUGAAAGUCGGGGCCCCGUCUGCCGGAAGACCUACUCGCAAGGUUGACCUCGGAUCAGGCAGGGAUACCCGCUGAACUUAAGC